rfam:Gossypium raimondii chromosome 3, whole genome shotgun sequence.
AACCCAUGGUACGGACACUUGUGCAGCAGCAAUUUAAAUAUUCCCAUGCUUCAUAAAGAGUCUCCCCCUCAAUUUGCUGAAAAUUAGUGAUGUCUUUGUUGGAU